CUGAUUUCUUGGAAAAGCUUUAAAAAAAUACAUGAUCAAGAUUAUUUUGUUAAUUAUUCAACUGGUGAAACUUAGGAACUGUCUUUCCUUGGCCUCUGGGAAAUCUGCUAAUGAAAAAUGACAGUCCUGGGUGAGGCGUCUAAAGACCCAAGUUUAAGUUCCAGUUCCGCUACUACAACAUUGGAUAAAACACAACCUUCACUUGGCUUCAAUUUCUUUUUAUGCAAAACAAAGCAGUUGGGUUCAUGAUCUUCAAGUCCCUUCAAGGUCUAUCAAUAUGUGAAUCUAUGACUGAAAUGUUCAGAAGAUUGGUACUCUACCCCAGAUACCCACUGCUACCUGACUUCAAAGUGAAGAAAGGUCUCUCCCUUCCUUGAAAAGAUUUCUCCAUCGAAGUCCUACUCCAGUGCUUCAUGAUGGAGACCCUAGUUUCUUGAAGACUGAAAAGAACCCAAGGUUUACAGAAUAUUUUCCUCACAACUGUGCUUGGAAAUAGGUACUACCAAUUUUGCAGAAGAAAAAAAAAACUAUGCCCGGAGAG